AGCUCCACUAGCGUAUAUUAAAAUUGUUGCGGUUAAAACGUUCGAAGUUUGAUUUUGUCCAGCACGGGUGUUACUCCAUCAGUAUUGUGGUAGUAAAUCACUCUUGAUGCUAGGACUAUGAGUUUGUGGCACCUAUGCGAUGUCAAAGUCGCGUAGGCAAAAUGUGUAUGGUGUGCCUUUAAUCGGGUGUGCCAUAUCGCAUGCCCUACUAUUUAUUACCUUGAACAAAUUAGAGUGCUCAAAGCAGGCUUUUAUUGCCUUGAAUAAUCUUGCAUGGAAUAAUGGAAUAAGACCUCGAUCAGUAUAUUUCAUUGGUUUGAAUUGAUCAUGAGGUAAUGAUUAAUAAAAGCAGUUGGGGGCAUUAGUAUUACGACGCGAGAGGUGAAAUUCAUAGACCGUCGUAAGACUAACUGAAGCGAAAGCAUUUGCCAAGGAUGUUUUCC
rnacentral:rRNA from 1 species